rnacentral:RNase_P_RNA from 1 species
GCUUGUCUCGAUCGACAUUGGGGAGGAAAGUCCGAACACCCUCAGGCGGCGUGCUUCCUAACGGGAAGGCAUCGAAAGAUGAUAGAAAGUGCCACAGAAAAUAGACGUCCGAGCAUGGUUCGCCGUGCCCGGUCAAGGUGAAAAGGUGGGGUAAGAGCCCACCGCUCAACUGGUGACAGUUGGGGCAUGGUAAACCUCACGCGGUGCAAGCUCAAGCAGAUCCUGUGUUGCCUGACACAACGGGAUCGGGUAGAGUGCUCGAGCCAUGUGGUGACGCAUGGCCUAGAUCAAUGAUUACCCCCUGCAAAGGGACAGAAUUCGGCUUAUAGA